GCAAGUUCAUGAAAUUACUGUUUCAACUAACAUGUUUUAGUUUUUAACUAAAGUGUGUUUGAGAACUAGUUUACAGGAAAUACGCUAUUGGCUAAUGUUCAAUAUUCUUGCAGCUGUUUUUUGGAAGCUUUGAAUUUCACUUUCUUUGCUAGAGAUCUAUUUUGGUGACCACAUUAAAAAACCUCCAAUAAUCACUUGGAUAUGUUUACAGGUGUUCAUUAGAAAGUUUUAACUCGAGGGGUGAGUUUGUCAGGGUCAAGAUUUCUGCUUUGGAAAAUGCUACAUUAAAUUGAAAUUACAUCUUGACAGUGCCUUCCUGCAAUUUUAAUAUUUGUUCAUAAACCAUCAUAUCUGAUAACGCUGGUAGGAACAACUUCAGUAUUGUGAAAGCAUUAAGGAUUAAUUAGUAAUUUGGAAGUUGUCCCAGCAUCUGUGCAGUAUUCUGGCUGCAGGUCCCUUUUUGGCUGAGUGGUUGCAGGAGCUCUGGGACUCUGACACGGGUUUCACCUGUGGAGCCAAUCUGGUUGAUGGGAACCUGCUGGGUGAGAGGGCACGGUUGAAAGGUUCCAGGUGAAAUUACACCAGUCCAAGUGCAACCUCACACAACCUUAUCACUAAGACAAAAGUCUCAACCUUCAAAUCUCCCUUCCCCAACACUUUUCCCUUCCCCAUCCGUCCCACAUGUGCUGCAGAACCUCGUUAGGCUAAGUGGGUGCAACUGGUGCUGCAGCCCCAAAGCACCUGGGGACAGGAUUUAUAAGGGUCUGUCUUAGCUCUGCUGAAUUUUUUGUGCUUCUAUCUUUCUACCUGUCUGUGGAAAACAUCCAGGCCUUCCUGCCAGAAAAGUGUACAGUUGAAGAAUGGCUGCAUGUAUUUUGUUAGCAGUGACCCUUCUGUUUCAGCUUUCAAAACAGGUGCUCUGGAAAGGGGAGCAGCGAGUGGACGUGCAGUGAUCAGCUGAACCUGGCAGAACCUGCAGCAGCAGGAGAGGAACUCGCUUCCUGCAGAAGGUGCAGUCUGCAAGUGUGAACUCACCUGUGCCCUGGCUUGAGAGAACUGGCUCCUUCCCUGGUGUGAGUGCAGGCCUAGACUAUUUAAGAAGAGGAAAAUAAAACAAACUCACCUGGUGUUGCAAAUGAAGACAGAAAAUUUAACACCAAAAUUAGUUUAAGAAUUGCAGCACCAUGAAGUGUUGUAUGAAAUAAUUACUUUUGGGAAAAAAAGCAAAAAAUACCCAACUAAAGAGAGACCUUCCCUCUGUGAAAUACUUGAUGUGAUGGAUUUAUAAAUGAUCAGGAACACCUGAUAGAACAAAACAUCAUGACUAUUGAGGGGAGAGAGCAUUUGGAUGGACGGCAGGACGCAUCUUCAUCGGAUUGCUCGCCACCUCCGAGUAGUUAACGGUGGGAUCAAUACAGCUCCUCCAGCUACAAUAAAAUGGCUUCGACAAGCUCAUCUGGGGCUGAGAACACAGUAUACACAUUGAUUUCCUGGCCUGAUAUAACCCAUUUACCUAUUCAGCUAGUCCGUUAAGGAAGGUGUAAGGCUACAAAGGCCCAAGGGAGCAAUGAUGCCUGAAAAGCCUGUGAAACCCCUCUUCAAAGCUUUCUUUUUUAGAGUUGUUGUGCUAAAGGAGGAUUUAAUUAAUGCUCUGUAUGUGCAUUUCCAAUGGAAAUCAUCACACUUGGAAAAGAGGAGAUAAAGACCCUCUUGCUUUGCUCUCCACAGUUAAUCUGGAGAAGACUUGGUUGGCUGUGCUCCCUGGUAUCUCCCCUGGCCACAGUCUCAGCACUGAAAAGGCCACCAUGCUAGAUAAAACUUCUUUAAGGCACCUGAGAGAGAAAGAGAAAGAGCACCUCCAGGGAGCAGCCUGCUGAUAGAACCUACUUCUAACAAUAUGUGAUUAGAGGAGGUGACACAUGUUUGGGAGUGGCACCAUCAGCAUCUGUGGGUUGUUGGCAACUGGUGCUGCUUUGAGCUGAUGUGUCCUCAAGCUGCAGCUCAUCCCAGACUAAUGAAGAUGUGCUUCCAAAACACAUGGGUGGAGCAGUGGCUGUGGAUUUGCUGCGCUGCUGUUUUAGUGAGAGCAGUGAGUUAUCAGGCACAGGACUGAAGGGGAAGAUGAAGAUAGCCUUCGUGUCCCACAAGAAGUGGGAGGUGAAGCAGCAGAGACAGGAAGACUGAUUCAGGAAGAUAACGCAGUAGCUUACAGCGUGGGGGACAAGAGAGCUCCUUAGAGGUGAGCAGCAGCUCUCGCAUGACCGGUGGCUCUCACCACACGUCGCUACCACACAGCAGUUCCUCGUUCAUGCACGGUGGCCUUCAGACAGACCCUCUCAAAUUCCUGCAUUUUGGAAUGGGCUGCUUCCAGCUUUGAGGAGGUUUUGUGCCACAAAAGAAUCCCAAGAAGGGGGAAAAAAUAAAUAGUUUCUCUUUCUGGCCUGGCAAUUGCAGAUUAAAAGCAUGAAACUGCAUGGGGAAACACAAGAAGGCUUUUCUC